rnacentral:tRNA from 1 species
GAUAAUGAAGUAAAACCUUACAAUUAGUUUCGACCUAAUAUUAGGAUUAAAUAUAUAUCCCUUAUCU